CUACGGGGUGCUGCAGUGGGGAAUAUUGCACAAUGGGCGCAAGCCUGAUGCAGCCAUGCCGCGUGUAUGAAGAAGGCCUUCGGGUUGUAAAGUACUUUCAGCGGGGAGGAAGGGAGUAAAGUUAAUACCUUUGCUCAUUGACGUUACCCGCAGAAGAAGCACCGGCUAACUCCGUGCCAGCAGCCGCGGUAAUACGGAGGGUGCAAGCGUUAAUCGAAAUUACUGGGCGUAAAGCGCACGCAGGCGGUUUGUUAAGUCAGACGUGAAAUCCCCGGGCUCAACCUGGGAACUGCAUCUGAUACUGGCAAGCUUGAGUCUCGUAGAGGGGGGUAGAAUUCCAGGUGUAGCGGUGAAAUGCGUAGAGAUCUGGAGGAAUACCGGUGGCGAAGGCGGCCCCCUGGACGAAGACUGACGCUCAGGUGCGAAAGCGUGGGGAGCAAACAGGAUUAGAUACCCUCGUAGUC
rnacentral:rRNA from 1 species